GCGCAUGUAGAUCAGUGGUAGAGUGCUUGCCUGGCAUGCAUGAGGCCCUGGGUUCAAUCCCCAGCCACACACA
rnacentral:tRNA from 1 species